UUGUUAGUAGGUGCAUGCAUAAAAAUCAAGCUAGGCCUUAUUUUGGGGGUGGGUCUUAUUUUUUUGGAAAACACGGUAAUUUUAAAAAACUUUUAAAAAACAACUACCAAUCAACACAAUGAGAUUUUUUAUGGAUCCAAAAGGAAAGGGGGAAAAUAUCUUAAUUGGCCCAAUAUAGUGUCCCCACUUUAUGUUGCAUGCAUUUAAAUAAUGUACAAGUUUUUAAAAAUAUGAAAGAUAUUCAGAAGCAUUGUUCUAUACUAUUUUCUAUAUGUCCUAUUCAAUAGUAGCUUUUUUCUUUUUGCUACUGGCUAUUUUAUUACACAAUAUUU